GCUGAGCUCGAUAACGUGGGCUUGUCACCAAGUGGAGCGUUAAGGUAUUUGAAUAAUUCGGUAUUGAAUUCAAGGUUGACAUUAUGAGCUAGCUUUUAUUUGCCUGUUUCCAAGUUGGGCAAUGGAUGCUAUGUUUCAGGCUACCGCUUGAAUCAUAUUCUCCCUAAAUUUGAGGGUAAUGCGUGAGGCUGGUUUCACAGAGCACAACGAUUACCUCUCACUCUCAACAGUGGAAGGAUUACAAGUCAUUUGCUCAUAUUGUCAAUUAGCCUUGGAAUCCUCCAAAUUCUAAAAAUAUUUUU
rnacentral:SRP_RNA from 1 species